CAGAGGUGGCAAGCGUUGUUCGGAAUUACUGGGCGUAAAGGGCGAGUAGGUGGCCUUCCAAGUCAGACGUGAAAUCCCCCGGCUUAACCUGGGAACUGCGUCUGAUACUGGGAAGCUUGAGUAUGGGAGAGGGAGGUAGAAUUCCAGGUGUAGCGGUGAAAUGCGUAGAUAUCUGGAGGAAUACCGGUGGCGAAGGCGGCCUCCUGGACCAUAACUGACACUGAUCCGCGAAAGCUAGGGGAGCAAACGGGAUUAGAUACCCCGGUAGUCCUAGCCCUAAACGAUGAAUGCUUGGUGUGGCGGGUAUCGAUCCCUGCCGUGCCGAAGCUAACGCAUUAAGCAUUCCGCCUGGGGAGUACGGUCGCAAGGCUG
rnacentral:rRNA from 1 species